rnacentral:tRNA from 1 species
UACAUCCUAGUUAAAAUAUAACAUCAGCUUGUCAAGCUGAAAUUUCUAAAAAGAGGUUGUAA